rnacentral:rRNA from 1 species
UCCGUAGGUGAACCUGCGGAAGGAUCAUUGUCGAAACCUACCUAGCAGAACGACCCGAGAACUAGUUUCAAAGCGGGGGGGCGAGGGGCCCUGCGGCUCCUUGUCCCCUUUUAUCCCCUUUUAUCCCGGGGGGGUUGCGCUGCGCUCGCGCGGCCGACCCUUCCGGGCGUACAAACGAACACCGGCGCGAAUUGCGCCAAGGAAAUUGAACGAGAGAGCGCGUCGUCCCCGUCGCCCCGGAAACGGUGUGCGCGGGCGGCGUCGUCAUCUUCAAAUAUGUCAAAACGACUCUCGACAACGGAUAUCUCGGCUCUCGCAUCGAUGAAGAACGUAGCGAAAUGCGAUACUUGGUGUGAAUUGCAGAAUCCCGUGAACCAUCGAGUCUUUGAACGCAAGUUGCGCCCGAAGCCACUAGGCCGAGGGCACGCCUGCCUGGGCGUCACACGCCGUUGCCCCCCCAUCUACUCCUUCGGGAUUGCGGGGGGGCGGAUGAUGGCCUCCCGUGUUCCUCGCCGCGCGGUUGGCAUAAAUACCAAGUCCUCGGCGACGCAUGCCACGACAAUCGGUGGUUGCGAAACCUCGGUUGCCCGUCGUGUGCGUUCGUCGCGCAUCGAGGGCUCGAAAAAAUGCUCGGCUCCGGCUCGGCUUUCAACGCGACCCCAGGUCAGGCGGGGUUACCCGCUGAAUUUAAGCAUAUCAAUAAGCGGAGG